rfam:Ovis aries breed Texel chromosome 3, whole genome shotgun sequence.
UCCCAAGUGGCACAGUGGUAGAGAAUCUGCAUGCCAAGCAGGGGACUCAGGUUCAACCCCUGAGUUGGGAA